CCUGGGGGAUGACCUGUGUUUAGGGGUGAAAGGCCAAUCAAACUCCGUGAUAGCUGGUUCUCCCCGAAAUGCAUUUAGGUGCAGCGUUGCGUGUUUCUUGCCGGAGGUAGAGCACUGGAUGGCUAAUGGGCCCGACAAGGUUACUGACGUCAGCCAAACUCCGAAUGCCGGUAAGUGAGAGCGCAGCAGUGUGACUGCGGGGGAUAAGCUCCGUAGUCGAGAGGGAAACAGCCCAGACCACCGACUAAGGCCCCUAAGCGUGUGCUAAGUGGGAAAGGAUGUGGAGUCGCAGUGACAACCAGGAGGUUGGCUUAGAAGCAGCCACCCUUGAAAGAGUGCGUAAUAGCUCACUGGUCAAGUGAUUCCGCGCCGACAAUGUAGCGGGGCUCAAGUACACCGCCGAAGUCGUGGCAUUCACACGUAUAGCUGAGCCUUUGUGGUUUAGGUGUGUGGAUGGGUAGGGGAGCGUCGUGCGGCCGGCGAAGCGGCAGAGUGAUCUAGCCGUGGAGGCCGUGCGAGUGAGAAUGCAGGCAUGAGUAGCGAAUCAGAAGUGAGAAACUUCUGCGCCGGAUGACCAAGGGUUCCUGGGCCAGGCUAAUCCGCCCAGGGUAAGUCGGGACCUAAGGCGAGGCCGACAGGCGUAGUCGAUGGACAACGGGUUGAUAUUCCCGUACCCGCUACGAUGCGCCAAUACUGAAUCCAGUGAUACUAAGGGUCCUUAACCCCCCCGUUGCAUCCUUCGGGGUGUUGGGGUGAGGGUGAACGCCUGACCUGAACUGGUAGUAGGUAAGCGAUGGGGUGACGCAGGAAGGUAGCCCAGCCCAGGCGAUGGUAGUCCUGGGGUAAGCAGGUAGGGAGGACCGUAGGCAAAUCCGCGGUCCAUUAAUCCUGAGAUGUGAUGCCGAGCCGAUUGUGGCGAAGUGGGUGAUCCUAUGCUGCCGAGAAAAGCCUCUAGUGAGUGUCGUGGCGGCCCGUACCCCAAACCGACUCAGGUGGUCAGGUAGAGAAUACCAAGGCGAUCGGGUGAACUGUGGUUAAGGAACUCGGCAAAUUGCCCCCGUAACUUCGGGAGAAGGGGGGCCUCCGCUGGUGAUCAGACUUGCUUUGUGAGCUGGUGGGGGUCGCAGAGGCCAGGGGGAAGCGACUGUUUACUAAAAACACAGGUCCGUGCGAAGUCGUAAGACGAUGUAUACGGACUGACGCCUGCCCGGUGCUGGAACGUUAAGGGGACCGGUUAGCGGGACGUAAUUCCUGCGAGGCUGAGAACUUAAGCGCCAGUAAACGGCGGUGGUAACUAUAACCAUCCUAAGGUAGCGAAAUUCCUUGUCGGGUAAGUUCCGACCUGCACGAAUGGCGUAACGACUUCCCCGCUGUCUCAACCGCAGACCCGGCGAAAUUGCACUACGAGUAAAGAUGCUCGUUACGCGCAGCAGGACGGAAAGACCCCGGGACCUUCACUACAGCUUGACAUUGGCGUUUGGAACGUCUUGUGUAGGAUAGGUGGGAGACUGUGAAGCCGUCACGCUAGUGGUGGUGGAGUCAUUGGUGAAAUACCACUCUGGUCGUUUUGAACGUCUAACUUCGGUCCGUGAUCCGGAUCAGGGACAGUGUCUGGUGGGUAGUUUAACUGGGGCGGUUGCCUCCUAAAGAGUAACGGAGGCGCCCAAAGGUUCCCUCAGCCUGGUUGGUAAUCAGGUGUCG
rnacentral:rRNA from 1 species